GAGCUAUGAUGAUAAUUAGCAUUUCUGUGCUGUUGGUCAAUCACUAUCAUCUCUUAGAUGAAAAUGUGUGCUUCUGAGCUC
rnacentral:snoRNA from 1 species